rnacentral:rRNA from 1 species
AACGUAGGUCGCAAGCGUUGUCCGGAAUUACUGGGUGUAAAGGGAGCGCAGGCGGGAAGACAAGUUGGAAGUGAAAUCCAUGGGCUCAACCCAUGAACUGCUUUCAAAACUGUUUUUCUUGAGUAGUGCAGAGGUAGGCGGAAUUCCCGGUGUAGCGGUGGAAUGCGUAGAUAUCGGGAGGAACACCAGUGGCGAAGGCGGCCUACUGGGCACCAACUGACGCUGAGGCUCGAAAGUGUGGGUAGCAAACAGG